GGACUACUGGGGUAUCUAAUCCUGUUUGCUCCCCACGCUCUCGUGCCUCAGCGUCAGUAUUUGUCCAGGUAGCCGCCUUCGCCACUGGUGUUCCUUCCGAUCUCUACGCAUUUCACCGCUACACCGGAAAUUCCACUACCCUCUACAAUACUCUAGCCUACCAGUAUAAGAUGCCGUUCCUAGGUUAAGCCCAGGGCUUUCACAUCUCACUUAAUAAACCGCCUACGCACCCUUUACGCCCAGUAACUCCGAUUAACGCUUGCACCCUCUGUAUUACCGCGGCGGCUGGCAC
rnacentral:rRNA from 1 species